rnacentral:lncRNA from 1 species
CCACGGCAUAAUUGGGGUUAAGCCACUUAGUCAUGAAGGUAAGUGAAUGCGCAACAAGGAAUCUCUAAUCCUCGAUAAGAGAGGAAGAAUACUCUAAGAUAUGAUUUGGGAAUCUUCGGCGAAAGUAUCGAGCGUAAUAAAGGAAAGCGUUCCUAUACGACUCAAUUGAAUCAUAUAAGAAGGAAUAAUCCCAUUAGGGGUUUGACAUUAUAUAUCCAUACCCUAGUAAUGUGAUUGAGAGUAUUGUUUUAGAGAAGGAUCGAAUUACAUUGUAAUUCCAACUGAAUAGGUUCUCCGAACAACUUCUACAUUAGCUUGGGUAGCUAUGACAUAUGGUUAGAUGUUACUCAUAGCUUGUGAGUUCUUCUAGAUGAUUAAAUGUAGUCAUCAAAGAAGAAAGUGAAUCAAAAGGAAGUUUUAAUUCACUAAGUGAUUGAAUUAAAUAUAAUCAAUUGGAUUGAUGCCAAUCACUUCACUGCCUUGCUAAUUAGAACCUAAAAUGAUUGUACACCGACACACUAUUGUAGUGAGUAGUUAAUGGAUGAAGGAAUAAUUAAUUGGAUUAAUUAAGUGUUGUGAUUAAUUUAGAAAGUCUAAAAGAAAUCAUAAAAGCGAUAAAGAUCGUUUUGGGCUUAAAGAAACGUUCGGGUUUUAUUGGGCCCAUUGGGCCUAAACCCAUUGGGCUUUUAUUCAAGCAU